AUUGAACGCUGGCGGCAGGCCUAACACAUGCAAGUCGAACGAGUGGCGGACGGGUGAGUAAUGUCUGGGAAACUGCCUGUUGGAGGGGGAUAAAUACUGGAAAAGGUAGCUAAUACCGCAUACCAUCAGAUGUGCCCAGAUGGGAUUGGCUAGUUGGUGGGGUAACGGCUCACCAAGGCGACGAUCCCUCGCUGGUCUGAGAGGAUGACCAGCCCAUUUGGAACGGAGACAGGGUCCAGACUCCUAGGGGAGGAGGCAGGGGGGAACAUCGCAAAAUGGGCGCAGGCUUGAUGCAGAACGGCCGGGUAGAUGUAGCAGGCUUUCGGGUUGUAAAGUCCGUUCAGCGGGGCGGCGUUACCGGAAUAGGAAGCACCGGCUAACUCCGUGCCAGCAGCCGCGGUAAUAC
rnacentral:rRNA from 1 species